ACAAUGUACGAGGCAGUAGCAUUUCAGGCCCACCAAGUUUCUGAAAUACUUUUUCCUUUCCUGCAAACUUUCUGCAUUAGCUCCAGUUUCCUUAGUGAAGUAGUUAGUCAAGGCUGGACUCACAUUUUUCCUUUAUACUGUAUUUGAUUUACAUCGGUUCAAGGAAAUGGUAAUGUGCAACAGUGACUUUGGAAUUUAAACAGCAGCCCACAAGGGAUUUCUAAACUGCAGGCCAACUUCCAAAUAUGGGAGCAUAUAAGCAGCUGCAGCAGUAGUAGUGCAGAAAGCCAUCCUUAGUAUGAGAAGAAGCAAAAUUCAGAGCUUGCCAAUACCUGGAAUAUAUGGGCCUCUUCAAAUGUAUUACUUGCAUUAGUCAAAAUAAGGGAUGAAAUAAAUAUGCUUCUGCAGCUGGAAAGGCAAAUACCAUGGAGGUUUCAUCAUAUUGGGACGAGCACUAGAGCGGCAAAAUCAACAUUUCCCCAUAAUCAUCACAGUUUUAGUGUGUUAAUGGUGCAUGUACCCCAAGAGUUCAGAUGCUUGUGCAGGCUUCAACCAAGGUAUCCCCAUCUCUUGAGUCUGCAAACUUGCCUUGAGGUCUUAAGAGUUUCUCUUCUCACAUGAGAAAACUGGUGGUAUUUACUACCAUCCCUGGCCAGAAAUUCAUUCAGAACAGACUUUCUGAUUCAGGCCCAUGAGCUUUAGGCCCCAGUCUUGCAAACACUUGUUCAAAGGCUUCACAGAAUCAGGGCCAUAAGGCACAGCACCUUCAGGGUCACUGUUUUAGAAAAAUAGGAAAGUGGAGGAGUAAUAGCAGCAAAGGGUUCUAAGAAGGAGUGGGCUGAUUAACAUGUAUUUAACUAUUUCAGAUAUGCCAGCUUUCUGGCCUUGAGAAGCAGGGAUAGCUGUGUGUCAGGCAUGUGCAGCUGAGUAGUGCCACGCAGUCUAGCGGAGUGCAGAGCCAGACAAGGCAAGCCAGCUCUGAGAGCAAAGGGCUGCAGAGUGGUGGCUGUUUCUAAUGUGCCACUAUUGUAUUGUUUGCGAAAACAACCAACCAGUUCUGGCCCCCUUGCUGACUGCCUCUCAGCAGGGGUUAAACCCUUUAACUGGGCUGAGAGGAUAUACCUAACCCACAGAAAGUACUGGCAGCUGUUGCCAAUUAGGCUGCUGGGAGGUGGAAUUAACAACUUUCCUCGCCCCCACCCCCGCAAACUGAGAAGCCGUAAAAAAAGCAAGCCUGGAAUGGAUGCCCUUUUGAAGAAGAAACAGCUUCUGUCUCCCUUCUCCGCGUGAGAGGGAAUAGGUAGGAGUUUUCUGGAGUGAGGGGCAAGCCCCUCAGAAAGAGAUGUGAAACUUACUGAUUAAAGGAACUGUAGUAGCUGUAAGUCAGACUGUUUUAUCUUUGGGUUUCCCUUUGGACUGGAUUGAAGGAAGCUACCUUGUUUGCAUUUUGUUCUUAAAUGGACUGGGCUAAUAGAAGCUGGUUUUGGACUUUGAUGUUUCCAAAGCUAGGGCAUGAGGCAUUGGCCCUGUUAUUGUGUUGUCACUGUGACACCAGUGUUGAACCUGCAUUAAACAAUUUUUUUUAAAGGGGUUGCAAGAUUGUUAAUUUGUUGUUGUUGCACAGAUGUUAGUCUCUCUCCCGCAAGAAAACCUUCCUCUUUCACUAUCUUAAGGCUUGUCUACAUUACCCGCUGGAUUGAUGGGCAGCGAUCGAUCCAGCGGGGGUCGAUCUAUCGCAUCUAGUUUAGACAUGAUAGAUCAAUCCAGCUGGGUGCUCUCCCAUCGACUCCAGUACUCCACCAGGCGUGAGGCACAGGCAGAGUCAACAGGAGAGCGUCUGCUGUUGACUUACCACAGUGAAGACACCACAUUUCAGUAAUGGUUGCCUUUUGGAUUUGAGACACUUAGUUGUUGAGGCCAUUGCUAUGGAAUUGGGCCUUGCAGUCUUUCUGGACUUGGAGUUGGAAAGGGUAUCCUAGGCAGGGCAUGCAAGGUAAGGUGAUACAGUUAGCUAAUUAUUCUCACAUACUUAGUGUGAAUUAGCAGAAGGAGGAGUAUGGACUUGGGAAAAUCAGACAUGUCCACAGUAUAUCAGACUUUUCCACAUCGUAUUUGUUGGCACUGGUUUAUUUCACACACAACCUAUUUAAAAGGUCAUCGGAGAACAGGAGUAGAACAAAUAAAUGAGUGGAAUACAGUACAGAUGACACUUCUCAGUCUCCCUAACUGUUAGUGUGUUACUUUAAAGGGAGUGAGGCCAGUCCUUUCUGCUGGUUUUGCCUGACUCUUAUUCCAUGUGUCUCGCGGCUCUUGUGCAGUGGCUUGUCUGUCUUGUUAGUGUUUUAUCCAUUGUUGCGCCUUUUGGAAGCUAUAUUACUUUGGGGCUGGUCUAAACAUCAAACGUGGGUUUGCAUAGCUAUGGUGCACAGCUAUGUUGAUGGAAGAAUGCUUCCUACCUAUCAUCGCUCAGGGAGGUAAAACUCCUGCAGUAAUGAGAAAACCCUUUCCAUCACUGGAGUCUGUGUCUACACUAUUGGGGUUAUGUUGGCAUAGUUACACGUCUGUACCUAUGGCCAUGUCUGCAUUACAAAAUUAAGUCAACCUAAAAUACGUCUGCAUACAGCAACCACAUUAAUUACAUUGCUUGCGCAUGUCCACACUACACCCCUUGUGUUGGGGUGCGUGUCCUCACUAGGACUGCUUGUAUUGAUGUAGAGUGAAGUACACCAUGGGUAGCUAUCCCACUGUGAAGUUCAUUCACAUCCAGCGCAGGGUGUUUUGGGAAGUUUCCGCAAUGCCUCAUGGGGCCGAAACAAAUCAUACAGGUGUGACUGGGAGCAUGGGUUCAACUUCCCAUAAUGCAGUGUUGGCAUCCCAUAAUAUGUUGCACCUCUCUUCAAAAUCCCACAAACAGGCCCAUCCUUCCUCACUGUCCAUGGAGCCUGCAGAGCUCUGCACUAUUUUGAUGAGUGUUGUGAGCACAGGCUGCCUGAUCCUGUCGUAUUCAAAAUUGUUGGCAAUGUUCCCGGAGCAGCUUCAGAUUGUGGAAAGCCAGUUCUGGGUCUGAGAAAUAAGCACCGACUGGUGGGAUUGCAUUGUCAUGCACAUUUGGGUUGACAAGUCGUGGCUGCAGAACUUUUGGAUGUGCAAGGCUCCAUUCCUGGAACUGUGUACCACUCACUCCAGCCCUCCAGCAUAGUGACACCAAAAUGAGACCUGCACUGACCAUGUAGAAGUGAGUGAUGAUCGCAGUGGGGAAACCUGCAAUGCCAAAUUGCUACCAGUCAGUCAGGCAUGAAUUUGGAGUUGGGGAAUCCACUGUUGUGAUCCAAGUGCACAGGGCCAUUUAUCACCUCCUGCUAUGAAGGACAGUAACUCUGGGCAAUAUGCAGGAUAUAGUGGGUGGUUUUGCAGCAAUGGAGUUACCUAACUGUGAUGGGAUAAUAGAUUGCAUGCAUAUCCCUAUUUUGGCACCAGACACUUUGCAACAGAGUACAGCAACAGAAAGGGCUACUUUUUAUGAUAAUGCAAGCACUGGUGAAUCACUGGGGAAGCUUUACUGACAUGAGGGAAGGGGCAUGGUGUGUGCAUCAUUAAGCACAAAGGACUGUUCAGAAAGCUGCAAGCAGGGGCUUUCUUUCCCAACUGGCACAUUACCACUGGUGAUGUUGAAAUGCCAGUAGUGAUCCUGGGAGACCCAGCCUACCCCUUGCUCCCAUGGCCAUGGAGCCAGGCAUCUUGACAGCACCAAAGAGUGAUUCAACUACAGGCUGAGCAGGUGCAGAAUGACUGUUGAAUGUGCUUUUGUUUUUUUAAAAGGUUGCUCAUGCUGUCUACUCAUGAGAUUUGGACCUCAGUGGAAAAAAAAUUCCAAUGGUUAUAGCUGCCUACUGUGUCCUGCAAAAUAUCCAUGAAGCAAAGGAGGAAAAGUUUUCACUGGGUUGCAGGCAAAGGUGGAGUGGCUGUCUGCUGAUUUUUAAACACCAGAUAUGAGGGCUAUAAGGAGAGCUCAAUGCGGAGUUAUUCAACUUUGAAAGAUCAUUUUAAUAGUGAACCAGAGUA